rnacentral:rRNA from 1 species
UGAGGAAUAUUGGGCAAUGCCCGCAAGGGUGACCCAGCAACGCCGCGUGGAGGAUGAAUGUCGUAAGAUUGUAAACUCCUGUUAGAGGGGAAGAAUAGUACCGGUUGGACCGGUAUAUGACUGUACCCUCAGAGAAAGCCCCGGCUAACUACGUGCCAGCAGCCGCGGUAAUACGUAGGGGGCAAGCGUUGUCCGGAUUUACUGGGCGUAAAGGGCGCGUAGGCGGUUUGCUUAGUCAGGCGUGAAAGCCCUGGGCUUAACCUGGGAUGUGCGCUUGAUACUGGCAGGCUUGAGUGUGGGAGAGGUUGGUGGAAUUCCCAGUGUAGAAGUGAAAUUCGUAGAUAUUGGGAAGAACACCGGUGGCGAAGGCGGCCAACUGGACCACAACUGACGCUGAGGCGCGAAAGCGUGGGGAGCAAACA